rnacentral:rRNA from 1 species
CAGUCGCCACGGUAAUACGGAGGGUGCAAGCGUUAAUCGGAAUUACUGGGCGUAAAGCGCACGCAGGCGGUCUGACAAGUCAGAUGUGAAAUCCCCGGGCUUAACCUGGGAAUUGCAGUUGAAACUGUCAGGCUAGAGUCUUGUAGAGGGUGGUGGAAUUCCAGGUGUAGCGGUGAAAUGCGUAGAGAUCUGGAGGAAUACCAGUGGCGAAGGCGGCCCCCUGGACAAAGACUGACGCUCAGGUACGAAAGCGUGGGGAGCAAACAGGAUUAGAUACCCCUGUAGUCCCUGUCUCUUAUAA